rnacentral:rRNA from 1 species
UACCGGCAGCCCAAGUGAUGGCCGAUCUUAUUGGGCCUAAAGCGUCCGUAGCUGGCCACGCAAGUCCAUCGGGAAAUCCACCUGCCCAACAGGUGGACGCCCGGUAGAAACUGCGUGGCUUGGGACCGGAAGGCGCGACGGGUACGUCCGGGGUAGGAGUGAAAUCCCGUAAUCCUGGACGGACCGCCGAUGGCGAAAGCACGUCGCGAGAACGGAUCCGACAGUGAGGGACGAAAGCCAGGGUCUCGAACCGG